GCAUAACGCGAAGAACCUUACCUGGCCUUGACAUUGAUAGAAUCUGCUAGAGAUAGCGGAGUGCCCUUCGGGGAGCUUGAAAACAGGUGCUGCACGGCUGUCGUCAGCUCGUGUCGUGAGAUGUUGGGUUAAGUCCCGCAACGAGCGCAACCCUCGUCACUAGUUACUAACGGUUCGGCCGAGGACUCUAGUGAGACUGCCUUCGUAAGGAGGAGGAAGGUGAGGACGACGUCAAGUCAUCAUGGCCCUUACGGCCAGGGCGACACACGUGCUACAAUGGGAUGUACAAUGAGACGCAGUACCGCGAGGUGGAGCAAAUCUAUAAAACAUCUCUCAGUUCGGAUUGUAGUCUGCAACUCGACUACAUGAAGCUGGAAUCACUAGUAAUCGUAGAUCAGCCAUGCUACGGUGAAUACGUUCCCGGGUCUUGUACACACCG
rnacentral:rRNA from 1 species